rnacentral:rRNA from 1 species
AGCGGCGAGCGAAACGGGAAGAGCCCAAACCAACAAGCUUGCUUGUUGGGGUUGUAGGACACUCUAUACGGAGUUACAAAGGACGACAUUAGACGAAUCAUCUGGAAAGAUGAAUCAAAGAAGGUAAUAAUCCUGUAGUCGAAAAUGUUGUCUCUCUUGAGUGGAUCCUGAGUACGACGGAGCACGUGGAAUUCCGUCGGAAUCUGGGAGGACCAUCUCCUAAGGCUAAAUACUCUCUAGUGACCGAUAGUGAACCAGUACCGUGAGGGAAAGGUGAAAAGCACCCCGGAAGGGGAGUGAAAUAGAACCUGAAACCGUGUGCUUACAAGUAGUCAGAGCCCGUUAAUGGGUGAUGGCGUGCCUUUUGUAGAAUGAAC